ACGAACGCUGGCGGCGUGCUUAACACAUGCAAGUCGAACGGAAAGGCCCUGCUUUUGUGGGGUGCUCGAGUGGCGAACGGGUGAGUAACACGUGAGUAACCUGCCCUUGACUUUGGGAUAACUUCAGGAAACUGGGGCUAAUACCCGAUAGGAGCUCCUGCUGCCUGGUGGGGGUUGGGAAGUUUCGGCGGUUGGGGAUGGACUCGCGGCUUAUCAGCUUGUUGGUGGGGUAGUGGCUUACCAAGGCUUUGACGGGUAGCCGGCCUGAGAGGGUGACCGGCCACAUUGGGACUGAGAUACGGCCCAGACUCCUACGGGAGGCAGCAGUGGGGAAUAUUGCACAAUGGGCGGAAGCCUGAUGCAGCAACGCCGCGUGCGGGAUGACGGCCUUCGGGUUGUAAACCGCUUUCGCCUGUGACGAAGCGUGAGUGACGGUAAUGGGUAAAGAAGCACCGGCUAACUACGUG
rnacentral:rRNA from 1 species